rnacentral:lncRNA from 1 species
GCACACUUGUAGGCACUCUGUGAUUUAUAAAGCAAAGAUUGCGUACAGUGUGCGUAGGCAGGGUUUUAUAAAUGAGACCCCAGAGCUUCCUCCCUGACUGACCUGGUGACUCACUACAAUAACUGCCUCUCCUCUUCCCUCACCACCCUGGCCCCACUGAAAACCCGCUCAGUCUCAUUCACCCACACUGCUCCCUGGUUCACUCCUCAUCUGCGCCAGCUCAAAGCCACUGGUCGUCGACUGGAGCGACUCUACAAUAAGACUCAACUCACUGUGCACCGCCAAAUGUAUUCGGACCACCUCCAUCACUACAAGAAUGCCCUCACCACUGCCAAAACCUCAUACUACUCCAACCUCAUCAACACUGGUACAGGCAACAGCAGAGUCCUCUUCUCAACAGUCAGCCACUUACUUCAGCCUCCUAAAUCCCUCCCUCCAGACAUUUCCACCACCCAAUGCACUGCGUUCCUGGACUUCUUCAGCUCUAAAAUCAACACCAUUCACCAACAACUGGCCUCAUCUCGCACCCCCUCUGAUAACCCACCGUGGAUCACUGGCCAACCUCUCAUCAGCUCCCUCUCUGACUUCACCCCAGUAACAGAACAGACCGUUUCAGAACUCAUCCGCAAAGCCAAAACCACCACCUGUCAGCUCCUGUCAGAUCCUCUUCCCACCUCCCUUGUCAAAGCAUGUCUACCGUCCAUCUCCCCCAUGAUCACCAACAUAAUUAACUCCUCCCUCACUACUGGUACUGUACCCCCCACUCUCAAGCUGGCUGCCAUCACUCCCAUCCUGAAAAAACCUGGUGCUGACCCAACUGACCUUAACCAUUACCGGCCCAUCUCCAAUCUCCCUUUCAUCUCCAAAACACUUGAAAGGGUGGUUGCCGCGCAACUACAGUCCCACCUUGACACAAACAAUCUCCACGAACCGUUCCAAUCUGGCUUCCGUCCAAAACACAGCACUGAAACAGCCCUAGUCAAAAUCACUAACGACCUCCUCUCCUGGACUACUAUGUAUCCCCACAUCACGACUCACUACAAUGGGUGCCCGGUCAUUCAGCUGUUCAGCACCCAGGCUCUGGAACUCCCUCCCCCCACACAUAAAACAGUCAGACACCAUUACAACCUUCAAGUCACAACUCAAAACUCACCUGUUCAAAGUCACACACAACGUCUAACUGAUCACUGUUUUGAUUGUUUGUUUGUUUUGUUUUGUCUUGUUUUUUUAAAAUUAAUUAAUUUAAUUUAUUAUGUUUUUUUUUUUUUUUUUUCACAAUGUCUUUUUAUUUUAUUUUUUUAAACAAUUUAAUAAUGACUAUAUGCUCUGUAAGGUGACAUUGGGUGUCUUGAAAGGCGCCUCUAAAUUAAAUGUAUUUUUAUUAUUAUUAUUAUUUUUAUUUUUACGACACACUAGAGAGCCUACAUAGUACGUCCAGCAGAGGGAGCUCCAACACUUGAUAUAGGAAUGUAUCCUGUUGAAGAUGCCAAUGUAUACAUA